rnacentral:rRNA from 1 species
AGGACGAACGCUGGCGGCGUGCUUAACACAUGCAAGUCGAGCGGAAAGGCCCUUCGGGGUACUCGAGCGGCGAACGGGUGAGUAACACGUGAGUAAUCUGCCCCUAGCUCUGGGAUAGCUCCGGGAAACCGGGAUUAAUACCGGAUACGACCACUACGGACAUCUGUGGUGGUGGAAAGAACUUCGGCUAGGGAUGAGCUCGCGGCCUAUCAGCUUGUUGGUGGGUAACGCCUACCAAGGCGACGACGGGUAGCCC